rnacentral:rRNA from 1 species
AUUGAACGCUGGCGGCAGGCUUAACACAUGCAAGUCGAGCGGAGAGAGGUAGCUUGCUACUGAUCUUAGCGGCGGACGGGUGAGUAAUGCUUAGGAAUCUGCCUAUUAGUGGGGGACAACAUUUCGAAAGGAAUGCUAAUACCGCAUACGUCCUACGGGAGAAAGCAGGGGAUCUUCGGACCUUGCGCUAAUAGAUGAGCCUAAGUCGGAUUAGCUAGUUGGUGGGGUAAAGGCCUACCAAGGCGACGAUCUGUAGCGGGUCUGAGAGGAUGGUCCGCCACACUGGGACUGAGACACGGCCCAGACUCCUACGGGAGGCAGCAGUGGGGAAUAUUGGACAAUGGGGGGAACCCUGAUCCAGCCAUGCCGCGUGUGUGAAGAAGGCCUUAUGGUUGUAAAGCACUUUAAGCGAGGAGGAGGCUACUCUAGUUAAUACCUAGGGAUAGUGGACGUUACUCGCAGAAUAAGCACCGGCUAACUCUGUGCCAGCCGCCGCCGUAA